UUUUAUGGAGAGUUUGAUCCUGGCUCAGGACGAACGCUGGCUGCGUGCUUAACACAUGCAAGUCGAACGCUGAAGCCGACAGCUUGCUGUUGGUGGAUGAGUGGCGAACGGGUGAGUAACACGUG
rnacentral:rRNA from 1 species